CAACAUGUACACUUUUGUUUGUUGGACUUUGGACUGUUACUCAGCAUAAUGCUUUUCAUUUUUUAUUUUUUCUGCUGCUAGGGAUUAAACCCAAAGUGUCAUGCAUGCUAAAAUGAACUUUGCCUCUGAGCUACCACCCCAGCCCAGCAUGAUGUUUUUUUAGAUUGCCCUGAAUUUAUUUUGUGUAUUAGCAUUCAUUUUUUAAAAAAUGAAUUUUGAUGCCAAAGGCUGGAUCCUUUUUCCUUUUGGAAUUGUGGAACAAAUAAUAAGACUGAGCACCAAUUGAGCAGUGAAAACUUUAAUUCUUGUACAACAAUAGAAGUGGGAAAUAAACUAACAAAACACUUUCUGCCUCUUGGGGGAGUCAGGAUUUAUAUAUAUAGGGCAAAAGAAAUAAUAGGAUGGGAUAGGGUAAUGAAAGGGAGAAAUCUACAAGUACUUUAAUAUAGUGAAGGUAGAGGUUGUCAGCUGUCACUCUGGUGUCCAUGUUAGAUGGAAGAGGUUUUGAGUGUGUGUGUUUGCUAGGGAUUGAACCCAGGGGUGCUUAACCACUGAGGCACAUCCCAGUCCUUUUUUUAUAUUUUUUUUAGAAACAGGGUCUCAUUGAGUUGCUUUGGGCUUUGCUAAGUUGCUGAACCUUGCUUUGAAUUUGAAUUCCUCCGGCCUCAGCCUUCCAAAUCCUGAGAUUACAGCAUGCACCAUGCUGACCUGGAACCAAUUUUGACUAGCUCAACUGAAGAGGAAUAUCUGGCCUGUAGGCAUUUUGUGCUCAAAGACAAGUAAGAAUGGGGUGGGACAAAAUUCAGCUGAGCCAUUGUCAGGUCCCAGUGUUGGGCCAAGUCAGACACCGCGCUGCUAGAAGGUGCAGAACUAGUGAAUCACAUUCCUGCCGAAGACAUGAGCAGCUUCAUGAUGAGCUCGGAGUUCAACCUAAACCUGUUGGCUCCAUGUUUAAGCCUUGGCAUGAGUGAAAUUGCCGGGAGCCAAAAAAGUCCCCCAAUGAGCAGCUCCGUGGUCUGAAAGGGCAGGGAAACAGUCCAAUGAGCAUCACCGCAGAGGAGCCAAUCAGCUAGAUGUUGCUGGGGCCGAGGAGCCAAUCAGCUAGAUGUUGCUGGGGCCGCUGUGAGCCAAUCAUUGAGAGCCACAGAUGUUGAGAGCCACAGCCAAAGGGGCCCCAGCAAACUUCCAGCUGCCAGCAAGCCAUCUAGGCAGUAUAAGACC
rnacentral:lncRNA from 1 species